UGGGGGAUAUUGCACAAUGGGCGAAAGCCUGAUGCAGCGACGCCGCGUGGGGGAUGAAGGCCUUCGGGUUGUAAACUUCUUUUGCUCUGAACAAGGCAUGCUAAUGGGUGUGUUGAGUGUAGGGGUUGAUUAGCGCCGGCUAACUACGUGCCAGCAGCCGCGGUAAUACGUAGGGCGCGAGCGUUGUCCGGAAUUAUUGGGCGUAAAGGGCUUGUAGGUGGCUGGUUGCGUCUGUCUUGAAAGCUCAUGGCUUAACUGUGGGUUUGCGGUGGGUACGGGCUGGCUUGAGUGCAGUAGGGGAGGCUGGAAUUCCUGGUGUAGCGGUGGAAUGCGCAGAUAUCAGGAGGAAUACCGGUGGCGAAGGCGGGUCUCUGGGCUGUUACUGACACUGAGGAGCGAAAGCAUGGGGAGCGAACAGG
rnacentral:rRNA from 1 species